AGGAAUAUUUUAAAAUAAUCAACCAAUUUCUUAAAUUAAAGACUAUCUAGAUUUGCAUCGAAGCGUUUUUUAUGAUAGUGAUUUUAAUCACUGUCAGAUAUCAUCUAUUUUUAUUAUUUUUAUAUAGCUACUUAUUACUUGGCCAUCUAUAACUUCCGAUUAGCGUAGGUGAUUUGUGGUUCUUGUAUUUUGGUCAGAAGACUCCUCUCUUCUAUUAUAUACAGCUCACUUCCUAUUUAGAGUUACAGAUGCGCUUCAAGUAGCUUGCAGUUUAUUGCCUACCAUACAUUUUCUCAAGAACAGGACCAAAUAUAGUCACUUAAUUUCUUUUGUUUUCGAAUGACCUCAUUUUUAUAAGAAUAUCACAAGAAAUAUUUUUGAAAAUUUGUAUUAAUUAAAAAAAUUCUACGCCUUUUUAUAUGCUCUUAUAUAUUCUUUUUACGAUUUGACGCUUAAAAAUUACUAAUUAAUGUUGCUUCAUAAAAAAUAAAAUGGUUUUUUAACCAGUUGUAUAACUUGUUAUUACGUCUAAAGGUACAUAUUAACAUAGCAUUUAGAGCACAUGAUCAUGGUGACAUAAAUCCAUUUGACGGGAAAUUGGGUGUUUUUGCUCACACUCUUACUCCAAGUAGAGACAAUGUACAUUUUGAUGAUUCUGAAAUAUGGACAACGGGAACAAAAAAAGGAACAAAUUUAUACCAAGUAGCAUUACAUGAAUUUGGCCAUAUGUUAGGAUUAGAUCAUACUCGAGUGAAAUUUGCAGUGAUGAGACCAGUUUACCCAGGAUACCAUCCAAGUGCUAAAUUAAAAAAUGAUGAUAUUGAAGGCAUUCAAGAACUGUAUGGUGAGAAUAACGUGAUGGAUUCAUAUGAAAAACAAAUAUCUAAAAGACACACUUCUAAUCAAAAUAAUAGUGUUGAUAAUUUUAAUAAUAGACAUUGUAAAGUUUUUAAUAUUGAUACAAUAUUUAUAUCAAACUCAGGAGAAAUUUAUAUGUUUAAGGGUAAGACAUUUUCACGAUUUUUUAUUUUAAAUUG